rnacentral:rRNA from 1 species
CGUGUAGGCGGGAAGGAUAGUCAGAUGUGAAAUCCCCAGGCUCAACCUGGGAACUGCAUUUGAAACUCCCUUUCUUGAGUAUCGGAGAGGAAAGCGGAAUUCCUGGUGUAGAGGUGAAAUUCGUAGAUAUCAGGAGGAACACCAGUGGCGAAGGCGGCUUUCUGGACGGUUACUGACGCUGAGACGCGAAAGCGUGGGGAGCAAACA